AGCAGUCGCCGCGGGAAUACGAAGGGUGCAAGCGUUAAUCGGAAUUACUGGGCGUAAAGCGUGCGUAGGCGGUGAGUUAAGUCUGCUGUGAAAUCCCCGGGCUCAACCUGGGAAUUGCAGUGGAUACUGGAUCACUAGAGUGUGGUAGAGGAUAGUGGAAUUUCCGGUGUAGCAGUGAAAUGCGUAGAGAUCGGAAGGAACAUCUGUGGCGAAGGCGACUAUCUGGGCCAACACUGACACUGAGGCACGAAAGCGUGGGGAGCAAACAGGAUUAGAUACCCCCGUAGUCCCUGUCUCUUAUAC
rnacentral:rRNA from 1 species